ensembl:lncRNA
CUCCAUACUUUGCUGUUUUUAUUGAGUUUGAAGAAAUGCACUUUGCUAUUGCCAAUAUUUAACCCUGCAUACAAGAAUAUUAUGAAUAUACAAUGAUUUCUCAGGAAAUAACAAUAAUUGUCAUGAUUUAUGAAAGAAGAUGUCAGGAAGUAAACAAGUGAAAUACUCCAUCAUCUAUAUAAUUAGUCUGGAAAGACAGGCACCAACAUGUUCUGGGGAGAUGGUGUUACACCUGGGUCAAAUUAACAUUUUGAUAUAAAACAACACACACAUAUGCAAAGCCGUGCACACUAAACACUUUUUGAACAAAGGCAACUGUGAGAAGACAUCCCUUGUGAAAAAAACAGAAAAUUGAUGGGCCUGUGUCCUAAACUCUUCUGUGUCCUGUGUGUGUGUGUGUGUGUGUGUGUGUGUGUGUGUGUCAUAUCUCUGGCUGCUGAGAAGGGUGUUAGCCCCUAGCACCACUCUGGGAAAUAACAGUAUGUCUGGGCAGUCGAGGCGUGAAUUCCUCAUAGACAUUUCCAACACGAUUCUCCUACCCUGCUGUUUUUCUUUUCCUCACAGCUCAGAACGCCUGAAAGCUCCAUAGGCGACAACAGACUUGUCGCUUUGUCUAAACAGAUAAGAUAGUAUCAAAUCAAUUUGGAUUAUUUUUUCCUCACUAGAAAGUAAUUGAGACAUGACCUCAAUUCAGUGGCCCCUUAAAGUGACAGUUUGUGAUUUGAAUUGGUAGAUAUAUUUUAUUUAUUUAUUUUUUAUUUUAUUUUAUUUUUUUGAGUGAAUGAAUGGAUAACCUUGGGUUAUGAUUUAAUGUGCAUCUCUUUCACCUUCAGAGUGUAUGUGGGCCAUAUGUAAAUGAAUUAACUAAACUUAAACUUAAAGUUAAAGUUGAGCAUACACUGCAAUUUCCAUCCAAUUUUGAGCCGAUUUCUGAGUUGUACGACUCAACCAAAUUUUGCUGCUGUUACUUAAAACUGCAAUUUGGUGGUGCUUAUGAAGAGAAUAUUUUGCCAAGCAAUAGUGAACAGGAAAGGAAGAAUCUCGUCUCUGUACUUUUACAUUUGGUGUUAUUUCCUAAACACCACAGUGAAUAAAAAAUUUGAAUGGCUGUAUGAAAACAUAUAACUAAUGUUUAACUUCUCUUCCUCUAACAUGUGGGUGUCUGAAACAAAAAUUUGCACAUGCUACCCCUUGUACACUACUGUAUUUCUGCUUUCUAUGAGCACCACUGUCAGAGAGAGAAUUAGCGUUUUCAUUCAGCCCGUCUGUUGCAGACAAAUGCAAAACUUUUGUGUUUUAUCGAAGAGACCAUUGGGCUGUUCACACAGAACACGUAUUUGUAAUUAAAAGGCAAGGCAUAGGCAUGCAAGGCCUAGAGACCUUUGUUUUUUAAAUGCUGAAAUUAUUUUAACUUUAGUGCAACAUUUUUAGAACAUCCUGUCCCCACGCAAAAGACAUAAGUGCUGCAGUCAAAUGUGUCUGUUUAGUGCAUGUUUACACAGAAAACUCAGUUCACCAUCUACUGCAUGCUACUCUGACAGUUUACAAACCCGUAUACUGACUAUUGUUCAUGUUGUUAAGUGUUUUGUGUAUCUUAAGCUGUUUGAAGAUGAUUGAUAGGUAUAACAACUACAUGGUGUAUUUCUCAAAAAAAAAAAAAAAAGAAAAAUUGACCCUCAAAUAAAAAGGCUUGACUUGCUUAUCAAAAUUUUAUUUACCAGAACUCUUUUCUUAAGGCUCUAAAUUAUUAAGAAGUUUCCAGAUCUAACAGUUUGCCAGAGUUGUUGUUGUUCUUAGUGAAUUACUUGUCAAGAUAGUUUGGUAUUGUUUGCAUAAGAGUGUGUGUGUUUGUGUUUGCAAGCAUACGUAUGGCCUUUAUCAAUAAUGCAGAACUAGAGAGAGCUGGCUGUUAACAGGAAAUGAGUUCUAUGCACAGUAGGACUUUCUUCUGUGACAUUUACAGGCGUCCGAAUCUCCACACAUGCUGGCCACCCACCAGCCCAACAAGUGGCUCUAAUGACACCCCCCAUGGCCACACGUUCUCAGGAUAUGCAACAAAC